rnacentral:rRNA from 1 species
AUCCUGGCUCAGAGCGAACGUUAGCGGCGCGCCUAACACAUGCAAGUCGCACGAGAAAAGGGGGCAACCCCCCGGUACAGUGGCGCACGGGUGAGUAACACGUGGAUUACCUUCCCUGGAGUGGUGGAUAACCUGCCGAAAGGUGGGCUAAUACAGCAUGAGACCACGCAGUUUCGACUGUGAGGUCAAAGCGGGCUUCUGUUUACAUGCUCGCGCUCUGGGAUGGGUCCGCGGCCCAUCAGCUAGUUGGUAGGGUAACGGCCUACCAAGGCAACGACGGGUAGCUGGUCUGAGAGGAUGACCAGCCACACUGGAACUGAGACACGGUCCAGACUCCUACGGGAGGCAGCAGUGGGGAAUCUUGCGCAAUGGGCGAAAGCCUGACGCAGCGACGCCGCGUGGGUGAC